rnacentral:rRNA from 1 species
GAGUUUGAUCCUGGCUCAGGAUGAACGCUAGCGGCAGGCUUAAUAUAUGCAAGUCGUGGGGCAGCAGGGGUAGCAAUACCCGCUGGCGACCGGCAAACGGGUGCGGAACACGUACGCAACCUUCCUUUAACUGGAGAAUAGCCCCUCGAAAGAGGGAUUAAUACUCCGUAACAUAUACAUGUGGCAUCACAAGUAUAUUAUAGCUCCGGCGGUUAAAGAUGGGCGUGCGCCUGAUUAGAUAGUUGGCGGGGUAACGGCCCACCAAGUCUGCGAUCAGUAACUGGUGUGAGAGCACGACCAGUCACACGGGCACUGAGACACGGGCCCGACUCCUACGGGAGGCAGCAGUAAGGAAUAUUGGUCAAUGGACGCAAGUCUGAACCAGCCAUGCCGCGUGGAGGAUUAAGGCCCUCUGGGUUGUAAACUCCUUUUAUCUGGGAAGAAAUGCAUUUUUUCUAAAGUGCUUGACGGUACCAGAGGAAUAAGCACCGGCUAACUCCGUGCCAGCAGCCGCGGUAAUACGGAGGGUGCAAGCGUUAUCCGGAUUCACUGGGUUUAAAGGGUGCGUAGGUGGGUUGGUAAGUCAGUGGUGAAAUCUCCGUGCUUAACAUGGAAACUGCCAUUGAUACUACUGGUCUUGAAUUUUCAGAAGGUAAGCGGAAUAUGUCAUGUAGCGGUGAAAUGCUUAGAUAUGACAUAGAACACCAAUUGCGAAGGCAGCUUACUGCAGGAACAUUGACACUGAGGCACGAAAGCGUGGGGAUCAAACAGGAUUAGAUACCCUGGUAGUCCACGCCCUAAACGAUGGAUACUCGACAUUUGCGAUACACAGUAAGUGUCUGAGCGAAAGCAUUAAGUAUCCCACNUGGGAAGUACGACCGCAAGGUUGAACUCAANGAAUUGGCGGGGUUCCCCACAACNGUGGANCAUGUGNUUAAUNCAUGAUCCCNAGNAACUNACUGGGCUANANGUAUCUGACNUGGUGAANCUCAUUUNUAACAUACCAAAUUNAAGGGCUGCNGNNUUCUCACUCNGCCNGAGCUUGGNUAGUCCCCACAGGCACC